rnacentral:rRNA from 1 species
GCCAGACUCCUACGGGAGGCAGCAGUGGGGGAUAUUGCACAAUGGGGGAAACCCUGAUGCAGCGACGCCGCGUGGGUGAAGAAGCGCCUCGGCGCGUAAAGCCCUGUCAGCAGGGAAGAAAAUGACGGUACCCAAAGAGGAAGCUCCGGCUAACUACGUGCCAGCAGCCGCGGUAAUACGUAGGGAGCGAGCGUUGUCCGGAAUUACUGGGCGUAAAGCGCUCGUAGGCGGUAUGUCAAGUCAAGGGUGAAAUCCCCGCGCUCAACGUGGGAACUGCCUUUGAAACUGGCAAACUGGAGUGUGUGAGAGGAUAGUGGAAUUCCAGGUGUAGGAGUGAAAUCCGUAGAUAUCUGGAGGAACAUCAGUGGCGAAGGCGACUAUCUGGCACAUAACUGACGCUGAGGAGCGAAAGCGUGGGUAGCAAACAGGAUUAGAUACCCUAGUACC